rnacentral:rRNA from 1 species
ACGGGUGAGUAAUACAUCGGAACGUGCCCUGUAGUGGGGGAUAACUAGUCGAAAGAUUAGCUAAUACCGCAUACGACCUGAGGGUGAAAGUGGGGGACCGCAAGGCCUCAUGCUAUAGGAGCGGCCGGUGUCUGAUUAGCUAGUUGGUGAGGUAAAGGCUCACCAAGGCGACGAUCAGUAGCUGGUCUGAGAGGACGAUCAGCCACACUGGGACUGAGACACGGCCCAGACUCCUACGGGAGGCAGCAGUGGGGAAUUUUGGACAAUGGGGGCAACCCUGAUCCAGCAAUGCCGCGUGUGUGAAGAAGGCCUUCGGGUUGUAAAGCACUUUUGUCCGGAAAGAAAUCGCACUUACUAAUAUUAGGUGUGGAUGACGGUACCGGAAGAAUAAGGACCGGCUAACUACGUGCCAGCAGCCGCGGUAAUACGUAGGGUCCAAGCGUUAAUCGGAAUUACUGGGCGUAAAGCGUGCGCAGGCGGUUGUGCAAGACCGAUGUGAAAUCCCCGGGCUUAACCUGGGAAUUGCAUUGGUGACUGCACGGCUAGAGUGUGUCAGAGGGGGGUAGAAUUCCACGU